rnacentral:rRNA from 1 species
CGCCUUGCCAGCCCGCUCAGAACUACAAAUGAAUUGAGGGACCCCGCACAAGCGGUGGAUCAUGUUGUUUAAUUCGAUGAUACGCGAAGAACCUUACCAGGUCUUGACAUCCCCCGCGAUGCUUUAGAGAUAAAGCGGAGGUAUUCGGGGAGACAGGUGGUGCAUGGUUGUCGUCAGCUCGUGUCGUGAGAUGUUGGGUUAAGUCCCCGCAACGAGCGCAACCCCUAUUGCUAGUUACCAUCAUUAAGUUGGGGACUCUAGCGAGACUGCCAGUGAUAAACUGGAGGAAGGUGGGGAUGACGUCAAGUCAUCAUGGCCCUUACGGCCUGGGCUACACACGUGCUACAAUGGUCGGUACAAAGGGUUGCCAAGCCGCGAGGUGGAGCUAAAUCCCAUAAAACCGAUCGUAGUCCGGAUCGCAGUCUGCAACUCGACUGCGUGAAGUCGGAAUCGCUAGUAAUCGUGAAUCAGAAUGUCACGGUGAAUACGUUCCCGGGCCUU